CCGUAGUAAGCUCUUGAAACUGGGAGACUUGAGUGCAGGAGAGGAGAGUGGAAUUCCUAGUGUAGCGGUGAAAUGCGUAGAUAUUAGGAGGAACACCAGUUGCGAAGGCGGCUCUCUGGACUGUAACGGACGCUGAGGCACGAAAGCGUGGGGAGCAAACAGGAUUAGAUACCCUGGUAGUCCACGCUGUAAACGAUGAGUACUAGGUGUCGGGGGUUACCCCC
rnacentral:rRNA from 1 species